rnacentral:tRNA from 1 species
GGGCGAGUGGCGGAACUGGCAUACGCGUACGGCUCAGAACCGUAUCCCGCAAGGGUUGAGGGUUCAAGUCCCUCCUCGCCCA